rnacentral:tRNA from 1 species
GAGGGUAUAGCUCAGUGAUAGAGUGUGUGCUUAGCAUGCACGAGGUUCUGGGUUCAAUUCCCAGUACCUCCG